ACUCAAAGGAAUAGACGGGGGCUCACACAAGCGGUGGAGCAUGUUGCUUAAUUCGAGGCAACGCGAAGAACCUUACCUGGGUUUGACAUGUACGGAUCAACUCUAUGAAAGUAGAGCCACAGUCGCAAGACCGGAACGUGCACAGGUGCUGCAUGGCUGUCGUCAGCUCGUGCUGUGAAGUGUCGGGUUAAGUCCCUUAACGAGCGCAACCCCUAUCGUUAGUUGCCACCAGGUCAUGCUGAGCACUCUAACGAGACUGCCGGCGUUAAGCCGGAGGAAGGUGGGGAUGACGUCAAGUCCUCAUGGCCCUUACAUCCAGGGUUGCAAACGUGCUACAAUGGUGCAUACAGAGCGAUGCAAGAGCGCAAGCUGGAGCAAAUCGCAAAAAGUGCACCCCAGUUCGGAUUGCGGGCUGCAACCCGCCCGCAUGAAGUCGGAAUCGCUAGUAAUCGGGGAUCAGCUACGCCCCGGUGAAUAAGUUCCUGAGCCUUGUACACACCGCCCGU
rnacentral:rRNA from 1 species